ACGCACAAUUCAUUGUCCUGCUCUUCCCUUGUAAGAGCUGUGAUAUUUCUGUUGUGCCAAAAAAACCCUGGAGGUAAAUUAGCAGAGUGGCUACUGGUGCCACCUCUGCCAGUCCCCUUCACACACAG
ensembl:snoRNA small nucleolar RNA SNORA19